AAGUGACAGACUGGAAAAUCUCUGCAGGCAAAUGUGAUGUCACUAAAGAAAUCACACACUUACCCGUAGAGAUUCUGCAGUCUGACAUC
rnacentral:pre_miRNA from 12 species